UUUUUUUUUUUGUUGAAUUGGUUAUGGCUUGUUAAUGGGUACUCGUUAUUUUGAUUAAAGAUUUUUAGUGUGAAAGACAUAUCUUAGUUUUAGUUGGAGUUUUAGGGUUGAAUAGUUUGUGGACAAUGUUGAAUUGGGAUUUGGGUGAAUGGGUCUAUAAGAUUGGCAUUGUCUGAUGCCUGCUACUAUCCUUCUCUCCUGUUCUUCUGAACCAUGGAUAUCUCAAAUGUGGGCAGUUUUCAUUUGAACACCUAGAAAAUGUAUGAGAUGUAGGAGAAAUCCUUUGGUUUCAAAGGAAUGCAAUUCAGACACUCGCGCACUUAUGUGUGUGUGAAUGGAAAGUAUUGUGGUCUUUUCUUCAAUAAUGAUUGGAAUGUUCUAUUUUGUUUAUGAAGGAAAUUCUCUACCCCUCAUUCCUCACCACAAUUAGAUUCUGUGUUGCAUGUUCUUCAGUAUGCAUGUUGCCCACGAGUUUAUCUGAAGUUGUGAACAUGUCUAACCUCAAGUUCAAUGAAUCAUGCCUUGCAUGGAAAAUAUUGCUCAUAUUUAAGCAUAAUAUAAUUUAUCAGUAAAUCAAAGAGGUAAGCUUUUAAACUCAUAAUUAUAAUGAUAAUUUAAUCUAUUCUUUUAUUUGUGCCAAACUAACAAAUAUCUUGUGUGAAUUGAUUGGUUUGCUUAUACUUUCUUGAACAGCCUUUCAUAUACUUUAGGACCAACAACAGACAUGUGUACACCCUUCUAUCAAAACUAUUUUAAUUGCUCUGCUCUUUUUAGUUAGAACAGUAGAGCCAUAUGAAGAUAUCCUUCUUGUUGUGGAAAUCUGUUUGCAAGAUCAAGAUGUACAAAAUGUGUCACUUGGAAGUCCUGUUUGGUUCUAGUUCUAGGCCAUCCACAGUAUAAACACAAAGAAGAAGAUUAUGUUCUGAUGGAUAAUGGAUUAUGAGAAUUUAAUUGCAUAUUUAUCAAGCAGGAAAAAGAAAAUACUAUAUGAUGUCUUGCUAGCAAUUAAUUCUGAGUUCUGUCUUUCUGAAUCUUGGAUCUGUUCCAGCCAAAAUAACCACACCAGAAAAUGAGAUUUGCUAUUUUCUAAAGGCUCCAGGAGAGAGAAUCAUCAUUGAAAGCACAAUGACUAGUUUAAUUUGUGGAUGAACAGCUACAGCUUCAAAUCCAUGGUUAAAAAUUUGGUGAAUGCCAUUCUAAUGAUUCCCUUAUAGUGAAAUCCAGGGUUGGGCUCCUGAUAACACUAAUUAACCAUUUUCUGGUUCCAAUAUGAGGAACUCUAAAGGUGUAUCCAUUCCUAAGGAGUGUUUGUAUUAGAAGAUCAGUCCUAGUAUUAUUCAUUCCUGGCACAAUUAAUUUUUGUUAUGUUGUGAUCUUGAAGAGAGUGUGUGUGAUAAAUGUGAAGCUCUUUAGUACUUCCUAAAUCUUUGUAAGCCGGAACUUCUGCCUUUGCACUGCAGUUUCUUCCCUUUAACAUGAUAUAAUCCACUCUCAAAUUUUGGGCAAAUAUACUUGAAAUAGGAGAAAAUAAAAUGACAAAAUCUCUUGGGUUGUAGCUCAAAUGUUAAAGAAUGGGGCAAGAUUGGACUUAGGUUUAAUUCUUGCCAUUUUAAAGACAAAAAGACUGUGAAAGAUAGAAAAAGAACAGAGAGAUGCUAUUGAUUCAUAACUCUUUUGUGAUAGAUCUAUAAUUUUUGCAUCUGAUGUACAGAGACUGAAAUAAAAAAGAGGAUUAAGCAACAUGAUGGCAAAUAAGGUUAUCCAUUUCGCUAAGUACUAUUUUUGGAUGUAGUAAUCUUUGCCAAGUUCAUAUGUAUAUACAUAUAUAUUGAAACAUUCUGUAAAGAAUGUGAUCUUGAGUAAAGCAUAUUAUUAAGUUACUUAACAGGCUCAUUUGUCAGUCGAGUAGUAAAUAUUUUUAUAGCUAGACAUGAUAGUUGUUCAAUAAAAUAGUUAUUUUUUUAGAAACUUCAAUUUGAUGAGACUGUUCAGUAAUCCUGAUUCUGAAAUGAAGCACGUGAGAAAGUUAAAAGAUGAGUGAUGGUCCAUGGAGUUGAAUGAAACCAGGAUUUCAUCGUGUAAAGUUGAUGUGAAUUUGUGGCAGGACAGGAUUAUGGUAGUUCUUUGAUUGCAAUUAGCAAAGAGAUUGGAUUUCUUGCCAUCAUGAUAGAUUUUACAGAAUGGUGUGAGUUUAUUGACACCAAUGGAUAAUAGAUUUGUAGUUUAACUUGGUUAGAUAGAUGAACCAUAAUUCAUUGUAAUAGUAUCAUUUGAGGGUGAGGAACGACAUCUACAGAUAUCAGUAUCUGGUCUCUAACUCAGGAACCUGAAUAGUAGUUGGGACAACAUUCCAGUUUUUCAGAGGCUACUGGGGUGGGGCUAUUUGUGCAUAUACACCCAAAUAUGUGAGGUCUUAUUUGGUAGAUAAAUAUGUAACAACUUUUUGCACUCAAAUUACUACCUAAUAUAUAUAGACAAUAAAAAUGUUAAACAUACCCAUUCAUAUUAAUGAGUCCACAUUCAUGCAUUUGUUUCCCCUCUUAUUGCUGUAAAACUUUCUGAUCCUUUUUUCUUGCAUUAGUAAAGAGUCUGUGGAUGGGACUUGAAAUAAUAUUGCGAGAAAUUUGAGAGUUGGAGAAACAGCUUCAAUUUGUUAUUAGUGAUCUUUAUAAAUUAUACACCUAGUGUGCUUAAAUCUAAGAGAAAGCAAUUACAGGGAAAAAAAUAGAGCAAGAAUGAAAGUGUUUUGUGUGCAAAAUUUGGCUAUAGUGAUCUGGCCUUUGUCAUUUGUUGGACUAUGUGAGGUGGCAUAGGGAAUGAUGAUUGUGGAGGGUUUGGCCAAUAUGGGCCACAAUUGAAUUACCCUAUUCGGGAGAGGGCAUUUAAGUUACUAACUUCAAAAGCUGUUUAUGAUGCUCCUAAAUUAGAAAGGUAAAAGACCUAACCAACAGGAGAGAUAAAAAAAAAUCAUUAUUUCCAGGUGAAAUUGAAUUUUCCAGUAUUUGUUAAUGGUAAUUGAUCAAAACUUGAUGCAGAACUUAAAAAAAAUAAAAUAAAAUAAA
rnacentral:misc_RNA from 1 species